AGAGUUUGAUCCUGGCUCAGGAUGAACGCUGGCGGCGUGCUUAACACAUGCAAGUCGAACGGUUCCGACUUCGGUCGGGAUAGUGGCGGACGGGUGCGUAACACGUAAGCAACCUACCCUCAAGAUUGGAAUAACCCUCCGAAAGGAAGGCUAAUACCGAAUAUUAUCCUUAAGACGCAUGUCCUGAGGAUAAAAGGAACUCCGCAAGGGGAACCGCUCGAGGAUGGGCUUGUGGUCUAUCAGCUAGUUGGUGAGGUAAUGGCUCACCAAGGCUAUGACGGGUAGCUGGUCUGAGAGGACGACCAGCCACACUGGAACUGAGACACGGUCCAGACUCCUACGGGAGGCAGCAGUGAGGAAUUUUCCGCAAUGGGCGAAAGCCUGACGGAGCGACGCCGUGUGGGUGAUGAAAUCCUUCGGGAUGUAAAACCCUGUCAGCGGGGAAGAUAAUGACGGUACCCGCAGAGGAAGCUCCGGCUAACUACGUGCCAGCAGCCGCGGUAAAACGUAGGGAGCAAGCGUUGUCCGGAUUUAUUGGGCGUAAAGCGCAUGUAGGCGGUGAUGUAAGUCAGGCGUAAAAGGUAUGGGCUUAACUCAUACAUGCACCUGAAACUGUGUCACUCGAGAGAGAUAGAGGGAAGUGGAACUUCCGGUGUAGCGGUGAAAUGCGUAGAUAUCGGAAGGAACACCAAUGGCGAAGGCAGCUUCCUGGAUCUCUUCUGACGUUGAGAUGCGAAAGCUAGGGGAGCGAACGGGAUUAGAUACCCCGGUAGUCCUAGCCGUAAACGAUGGUCACUAGGUGUUGGAGGUAUCGACCCCUUCAGUGCCGCAGGUAACCCGAUAAGUGACCCGCCUGGGGAGUACGGCCGCAAGGCUAAAACUCAAAAGAAUUGACGGGGGCCCGCACAAGCGGUGGAGCAUGUGGUUCAAUUCGAUGCUACGCGAAUAACCUUACCUGGGCUUGACAUGUGCGGAACCCUGCAGAAAUGCGGGGGUGCCCAGAAAUGGGAGCCGCAACACAGGUGCUGCAUGGCUGUCGUCAGCUCGUGUCGUGAGAUGUUGGGUUAAGUCCCGCAACGAGCGCAACCCCUAUUGUCAGUUGCUAACAGAUAAUGCUGAGCACUCUGGCGAGACUGCCCGUGAUAAAUGGGAGGAAGGCGGGGAUGAGGUCAAGUCAUCAUGGCCCUUAUGUCCAGGGCAACACACGUGCUACAAUGGCAUGUACAAAGGGCAGCAAUACCGUAAGGUGGAGCAAAUCCCAAAAAACGUGCCUCAGUUCGGAUUGCAGGCUGCAAUUCGCCUGCAUGAAGCUGGAAUCGCUAGUAACCGCAGAUCAGCGCGCUGCGGUGAAUGCGUUCUCGGGCCUUGUACACACCGCCCGUCACACCAUGAGAGUCAGAAACACCCAAAGUUCAUGAUCCAACCCUGAGAGUAAUCGAAGGGAGGUAAUGACCUAAGGUGGCACUGAUGAUUGGGGUGAAGUCGUAACAAGGUAACC
rnacentral:rRNA from 1 species